GCGCGUGUAGUUCAGUGGUAGAACGCUUCUCUGAUAAAGAAGAGGUCGGAGGUUCGAUCCCUCCCACGCGCA
rnacentral:tRNA from 1 species